GCCGAGGUGGCGGAAUUGGCAGACGCAGCGGACUCAAAAUCCGCCGGGGUUCACCCCCCGUGGGGGUUCAAGUCCCCCCCUCGGUA
rnacentral:tRNA from 1 species